AUUCAGUCAUACCAAUAACUGCUAUUUCUACCAAUAUAUUCACCCUCAUAAUCUCCAACUGUAAUACCUCAACAUCACAGCUUCAUCACACAAUUAUCCUCAUUUCAAUUAUUGGAAUUCUUCACACAAAACUACCAUUCACAUUACAGUGUUUCACACAACCACAGAUUCACUCUUUCUGCUGAACUAUAUUCAGAUUUCAGCAUUCAAUCUCUCUUCUUCUCAUUCAAUAACAUAUAAUUCCAUUCACACUUUCAUUCCAUGAUUCACUUCACAAUAUUCAGAAACUCUCAAUACUCUUAUUUCAAAGAACAUAACAACAAAAGAAAAGAGGUAGCACCAAGCUUACCCCGGCUCACACUAUCACAGUAAUGGCGGUUUCUUCCUCUCUUUCAUCCUCCUUAUCCUACCACAAGAUACCAACUGCUACAUCUCUAAUGAAAACUACUUUUCCUAACUAUUCAUCCAUUUUAACUACUCAACUACCUUUCUAACAGUCAUCUAUCCCUGUUUACACUAUAAACUAAGUAUCUACAAAUCAGCAAAUAACUACUUAUUCUACACAUACACAACAGAACUCAAAAAAUCUUUAAAUUUGUAAACAUAUUUUUAUUUCUCAAAAAUCUAGAAUA
rnacentral:lncRNA from 1 species